rnacentral:rRNA from 1 species
UAGGGAAUCUUCCACAAUGGACGCAAGUCUGAUGGAGCAACGCCGCGUGAGUGAAGAAGGUCUUCGGAUCGUAAAACUCUGUUGUAAGAGAAGAACGUGUGUGAGAGUGGAAAGUUCACACAGUGACGGUAACUUACCAGAAAGGGACGGCUAACUACGUGCCAA